rnacentral:rRNA from 1 species
UGCAAGUCGAGCGGAGAUGAGGUGCUUGCACCUUAUCUUAGCGGCGGACGGGUGAGUAAGCUUAGGAAUCUGCCUAUUAGUGGGGGACAACAUUCCGAAAGGAAUGCUAAUACCGCAUACGUCCUACGGGAGAAAGCAGGGGAUCUUCGGACCUUGCGCUAAUAGAUGAGCCUACGUCGGAUUAGCUAGCUGGUGGGGUAAAGGCCUACCAAGGCGACGAUCUGUAGCGGGUCUGAGAGGAUGAUCCGCCACACUGGGACUGAGACACGGCCCAGACUCCUACGGGAGGCAGCAGUGGGGAAUAUUGGACAAUGGGGGGAACCCUGAUCCAGCCAUGCCGCGUGUGUGAAGAAGGCCUUAUGGUUGUAAAGCACUUUAAGCGAGGAGGAGGCUACUGAGACUAAUACUCUUGGAUAGUGGACGUUACUCGCAGAAUAAGCACCGGCUAACUCUGUGCCAGCAGCCGCGGUAAUACAGAGGGUGCGAGCGUUAAUCGGAUUUACUGGGCGUAAAGCGUGCGUAGGCGGCUUUUUAAGUCGGAUGUGAAAUCCCCGAGCUUAACUUGGGAAUUGCAUUCGAUACUGGGAAGCUAGAGUAUGGGAGAGGAUGGUAGAAUUCGGGUGUAG